rnacentral:rRNA from 1 species
UACAGAGGGGGCAAGCGUUAUUCGGAAUUAUUGGCGUAAAGGGCGCGUAGGCGGCUUGGCAAGUGGAAGGUGAAAUCCCUCGGCUUAACCGAGGAACUGCCCUCCAAACUGCUUUGCUUGAGGCCGGGAGAGGUGAGUGGAAUUCCCAGUGUAGCGGUGAAAUGCGUAGAUAUUGGGAGGAACACCAGUGGCGAAGGCGGCUCACUGGACCGGUUCUGGACGCUGAGGCGCGAAAAGCGUGGGGAGCAAACGGGG